CCAUAAAGUCUUUAAUACAUCGAUGGUCGGUUAUUCAAAAGGCGACAAACAAAUUUUGUUCAAAACUAGUCUAGGUUGAAGGGUUGAAUCAAAGUGGCAUAACCGAGCAAGACAAUUUUGACAAGGCCAAGGUUAUGUACCAAUCGCUAGAGAAAUGCUCAUUUUAGUUUGAGCAUUGUUGGCACCUAUUGAAGGACCACCCUAAAUGGAUUUGGCAUUCCACAAAGGAGGAUCCAAAGCGAAGGAAGACGAUGUCCCUAUCCCCGACCCCGACCCCGACUCGAUGUUUGAGCUCUACAGUGGAUUUAGUUUUUGAUCUCGAGGUGGAUAAUGUGAUAGAUAAUGACGUUAUCGAAUUGGACCGACCAAUGUGAAGGAAAGUUGAGAAAGGAAAACGAAAGGCCCAAGGCACGUCAGCACAGGAGAUUGUUGUGCUCAACAACUUGAAGUAUACGCUUUUGGU